GAUGAACGCUGGCGGCGUGCCUAACACAUGCAAGUCGAGCGAUUCUCUUCGGAGAAGAGCGGCGGACAGGUGAGUAACGCGUGGGUAACCUGCCCUGUACACACGGAUAACAUACCGAAAGGUAUGCUAAUACGGGAUAAUAUGUUUUGAUCGCAUGAUCGAAAUAUCAAAGCUCCGGCGGUACAGGAUGGACCCGGGUCUGAUUAGCUAGUUGGUAAGGUAACGGCUUACCAAGGCGACGAUCAGUAGCCGACCUGAGAGGGUGAUCGGCCACAUUGGAACUGAGACACGGUCCAAACUCCUACGGGAGGCAGCAGUGGGGAAUAUUGCACAAUGGGCGAAAGCCUGAUGCAGCAACGCCGCGUGAGCGAUGAAGGCCUUCGGGUCGUAAAGCUCUGUCCUCAAGGAAGAUAAUGACGGUACUUGAGGAGGAAGCCCCGGCUAACUACGUGCCAGCAGCCGCGGUAA
rnacentral:rRNA from 1 species